rnacentral:rRNA from 1 species
GCUCCAAUAGCGUAUAUUAAAGUUGUUGCGGUUAAAAAGCUCGUAGUUGGAUUUCUGUCUGGAACGGGCGGUCCGGCCUAGGCCGUGUAUCUGUCUUAUCUAGGCAUCCUCAUGAAGAUCGUCGCUGUGCUUCAUUGCGUGGUGCGGAAUUCAUGACUUUUACUUUGAGGAAAUUAGAGUGUUCACGGCAAGCAAUCGCU